CGCACCUAAAAGCGUUUUCUUGCCAGCCCGUUAACUGCUCUUGAAAAUCGUAGAUGUGUGCCAGAGCAACCUUUGCAACAGCAAGUGAUCUGGGUUCUCCUGUAACUUUUAUCCGUUGACGUUGUAAACAUUU
rnacentral:snoRNA from 12 species